GAGGGCAGCUAGCUCUUUGCAACUCUCACAUGGUCGCCAGCAGGGCUGCGCCUGGUCAGUAUCUGCAUGGGAGACCUCAUGGGAAAACUAGGUUGCUGCCGAUG
rnacentral:rRNA from 1 species